UAGGGAAUCUUCGGCAAUGGGGGCAACCCUGACCGAGCAACGCCGCGUGAGUGAAGAAGGUUUUCGGAUCGUAAAGCUCUGUUGUAAGUCAAGAACGAGUGUGAGAGUGGAAAGUUCACACUGUGACGGUAGCUUACCAGAAAGGGACGGCUAACCACG
rnacentral:rRNA from 1 species